rfam:Triticum aestivum genome assembly, contig: Triticum_aestivum_CS42_TGACv1_scaffold_034315_1BL
GUACUACUCCCUCCGUCCGAAAAUACUUGUCAUCAAAAUGGAUAUACCAUUUUGAUGACAAGUAUUUUCGGACGGAGGAAGUACAUA